GGCGGCGUUGGGCAGUGGUAGCCCGGUGGUCUUGAAAACCACUUUCUUACGAUAUGGAGGUUCGAUUCCUCCCGCCGCCG
rnacentral:tRNA from 1 species